rnacentral:rRNA from 1 species
GGUAUUCUUGAGUGUAUAUGAAGUAGGCGGAAUUUGUGGUGUAGCGGUGAAAUGCAUAGAUAUCACAAGGAACUCCAAUUGCGAAGGCAGCUUACUAAAAUACAACUGACGCUCAGGCACGAAGGCGUGGGUAUCAAACAGGAUUAGAUACCCUGGUAGUCCACGCAGUAAACGAUGAUUACUCGCUGUUUGCGAUACGCAGUAAGCGGCUUAGCGAAAGCGUUAAGUAAUCCACCUGGGGAGUACGUCCGCAAGAAUGAAACUCAAAGGAAUUGACGGGGGCCCGCACAAGCGGAGGAACAUGUGGUUUAAUUCGAUGAUACGCGAGGAACCUUACCCGGGCUUGAAAUGCAUUUGACCGGCUCAGAGACGAGCCUUCCCUUCGGGGCAAAUGUGUAGGUGCUGCAUGGUUGUCGUCAGCUCGUGCCGUGAGGUGUCGGCUUAAGUGCCAUAACGAGCGCAACCCUCAUCAUUAGUUACUAACAGGUUAAGCUGAGGACUCUAAUGAGACUGCCAUCGUAAGAUGCGAGGAAGGUGGGGAUGACGUCAAAUCAGCACGGCCCUUAUGUCCGGGGCGACACACGUGUUACAAUGGAUGGUACAACAGGCAGCUACUUGGCGACAGGAUGCUAAUCCCAAAAACCAUUCUCAGUUCGGAUCGAAGUCUGCAACUCGACUUCGUGAAGCUGGAUUCGCUAGUAAUCGCGCAUCAGCCACGGCGCGGUGAAUACGUUCCCGGGCCUUGUACACACCGCCCAA